ensembl:lncRNA
UAUAUAUAUAUAUAUUCAUUUAUUUAAAAAAAAGAUACAAAAUAAAACAAUGCUUCAUUAUUAUUCUUACCACUAUAUAUUUGCACUAACAUUUUUUGUUGUUGUUUUAAACAGUUUAACACGAUGUUGUUUCUUUAUCCGGUAGAACUUAGUUUUGUAUACACAUCACAUUCUCUCCGACAAGUUGCAUGUAUUUCAACACCUCAAAAGAGAAAGAAACCAACAGCAAGGAUUUGUGGGUAACAGAAAUGUCAUUUUCAUUUGUCAAUGUCUUCAUGUUAACAGAUAUUCUGAUAAUAGAAUCAAAUCAAAUCAAAAUGAGUAAGUAGUGGGGCAGGCCAAUUAACCAAUUAACUACAACCAAUUAAAAAUGUUUGACUUGAUAAUUGAACCUUCUAAGAAAGAAAAGAAAAGGAAUGUAAAGGAAGAUGCUCUCGGACGGAUUUUUACUCUUUCUUACACUGGAGCUCAACAAAAUGGAGGCUGGUCCCAGACCUGUUUGUGCUCCUGCCAACCCCAUUAAAAUGUCCUUUUCAAGCCGAGUGCCAAUGAGUGACGAGGAGUUGGUAUGAUAGCACAAACAGACUGGCACUCAGGUUAGGACAAAAUGACAAGUGGAUAAAAUUUUGGAUUGACACUGAAAAGUCUUGAGUAUAACACAGCCUGCUAACAUGAGGUAAAACAAAAUCUAACAACAAUAUAUAUAUAACAUCUAAAAACACAAAUGAGAUCCAUCAACGCAUUACAUCACACAUACAACCAACAUGCUGCUCAAAGAUGAUUGGCUAGCGAGUCGGCGUGACUACUGAGGGUGUUGGAACACCCAGAACCUGAUGAUGCAGCUGCUGCUUCAUUGUAGUAAACUGGUCUUUUAGCAUGAAUCACAAAUGGCACCCUAUUCCCUAUAUAGUGCACUACUUUAGACCAGGACCCUAUAGAACCCUAUUCCCUAUAUAGUGCACUACUUUAGACCAGGACCCUAUAGAACCCUAUUCCCUAUAUAGUGCACUACUUUAGACCAGGUCCCAUGAGUAGGGCUCUGGUUAAAAAAAACGUGUUUUUUUAAAGUGUGCCCUACAUAGGGAGAUACAGCCAUACUCUCAUAUUCAGUCGGACUAAAUACAGAGAUAUAGCCAACAGGCAUAACCACCACUUUGGAUAUAUAGAAUGUUAUUCUCUAUUUCGACGACAUAAAUAAGAAACAAAACAAUCUAUUGGAGAGAAAAAAAAAAGAGAAAAGAAAUCUACAUUUUUUUUUUUUUAAACUCAAAUAUACACAACUUAAUAAAAUCUAAACCAAUACACUUCUCAUUACUUCCUCAAAGACAAAUCUAAAACCAAGAGUUGAAUCGAUUGGUGGUAAUAGGAAUACAGAGGGAGAAGUUCUGAGCACUUUUACCCACCAACACUGAACUCGAGGGCUCCUGGCACAAGCAUUCAUACACACGUACUCGUGUGCGCAGUAUUACGCACACACAGAGUUGCUAAGAGACGAAGUUCAAUUGUGUUAGUAAAUCCUUCAGAGCUCAAAUUAAUGUCAAGUUUCAGUACGGACAAACAAGACUGGAUUGGACAGAGAGGAGGGUAGAGAAAACAGAGGGCAGUAGCAGUAGUAAAAGUAUUGAGAGAAAAGAGGGAGUAGUAGUAUUUGAGAGAACACAACAGAGAGCAAGAGGAGAACGAUGUUGAUGAAGAGGAGAAAGUGGAGGAAGAGGGAGAGCAUCCACAUGAUGACACUGAAUUAAACUGAGAUACUUUUUCCUUUAAAAAAAUGUAUGGAAAUCAUUCUGUCUUAAAGACACUGUCCGUAUUCUACUGCAGAGAGCAUCAACUAGAUUCAACCGCAGGUUCAGAUCGUGUGUUUUAUCUACAGCAGGGAGCAUCAACUAGAUUCAACCGCAGGUUCAGAUCGUGUGUUUUAUCUACAGCAGGGAGCAUCAACUAGAUUCAACCGCAGGUUCAGAUCGUGUGUUUUAUCUACAGCAGGGAGCAUCAACUAGAUUCAACCGCAGGUUCAGAUUGUGUGUUUUAUCUACAGCAGGGAGCAUCAACUAGAUUCAACCGCAGGCAGAUUAUUAUUUUUUUUAACUGACGGUCAGGGUGCCAGAACAUAAUUACAAAUUACUUGUACAGACAUAAUAAUUGACUAUAAAACAUCAUUAUUUCAAACGUUGGUUACAUUUGUAUUACGAUCACAUGUCAACCGCAAGUUGGUGGAACCCUGCUAUACCGUAACAGUAUAGCAGGGUAACGGUAACAGUCUAGGUAGGUCUAGGUGUAAUCAGUGUCAGAACCCUGCUAUACUGUAUCCAUGGUAACAGUCUAGGUAGGUCUAGGUGUAAUCAGUGUCAGAACCCUGCUAUACUGUAUCCACGGUAACAGUAUGGGUAGGUCUAGGUAUAAUCAGUGUCAGAACCCUGCUAUACUGUAUCCACAGUAACAGUAUGGGUAGGUCUAGGUAUAAUCAGUGUCAGAACCCUGCUAUACUGUAUCCACGGUAACAGUAUGGGUAGGUCUAGGUAUAAUCAGUGUCAGAACCCUGCUAUACUGUAUCCACGGUAACAGUCUAGGUAGGCCUAGGUGUAAUCAGUGUCAGAACCCUGCUAUACCGUAUCCACGGUAACAGUCUAGGUAGGUCUAGGUGUAAUCAGUGUCAGAACCCUGCUAUACCGUAUCCACGGUAACAGUCUAGGUAGGUCUAGGUGUAAUCAGUGUCAGAACCCUGCUAUACCGUAUCCACGGUAACAGUCUGGGUAGGUCUAGGUGUAAUCAGUGUUUACCCUUCAUUAAAACACACAUCUUUCAUAGUGUGGUCCACUGCUCCCUUUCUAUCUAGUCACAUGCUUCUCAUAUUUCACUAGUCUUAUGAAAACUACAAACAAAAAUCCUAGGAAAAACGCAACAAAGAAAACCAAAAAUCUGUAAGCAGCGCAAGUGUUUAGUCCAUAAGCAGAAUACCAUGUGCCUUUUAUCAGUACAUGGUUAGGGAGGCAAUGGUUCACACGGUCUACAGUACACAACGAUAAACUAGUCAACGUUCUUUUGAAGCUUUGGUGUGUGUUUCUGUAUAAGAUAACCUGUUGACAUGGCAGCUGUGGACCUACGAACCGUGGCAAGUCGCAACACAGAUAUCUUGUCGCUGCCCGAGGAGGGCACCGUGUCGAAACACCUACAGCGGUCAAAUCAUGGUCCAAACUGAAUGGUAGAACAUGGCUCAGAACUCAGGAAGAAUAUCAGACCCACCACUUCUCUAAAAUGUAAAAGUGAAGUUGAUCGAGCCACUGAUGGACAGGUGACCCAGUGUUAACGAAAUGUGAUUGUUAGUUAUGGUCUCUACACAGUCUAAACUCGUACAAUAUAUACUUAACAAUUUUUUUUUUUAAAGGCAACAUGUAAAAUGUUGGUCCCAUGUUUCAUGAGCUAAAAGAGAAGAUCCCAGACAUUUUCCAUGCGCCAAAAAAAAAAAAAAGACGCGUAUUUCUCUCAAAUUUUGUUCACUAAUCUGUCUACAUCCCUGUUACUGAGCAUUUCUCCUUUGCCAAGAUAAUCCAUCCACCUGACAGGUGUGGCAUAUGAAGAAGCUGAUUAAAUAGCAUGAUCAUUACACAGGUGUACCUUGUGCUGGGGGACAAUACAAAUCCACUCUAAAACGUGCAGACCCCAUGUAUGGCGUCGUGUGGGCAAGUGGUUUGCCCCAUGGUGGCGGUGGGGUUAUGGUAUGGGCAGGUGUAAGUUUACGGACAACAAACAAAAUUGCAUUUUAUCGAUGCCAAUUUGAAUGUAGAGAAAUACUGUGACAAGCUCCUGAGGUAUCUGUGACCAAUAGAUGCAUAUCUGUAUUCCCAGUCAUGUGAAAUCAAUAGAUUAGGGCCUAAUGAAUUUAUUUCAAUUCACUGAUUUCCUCAUAUGAACUGUUAUUCAGAAAAAUCAUGUUGCAUUUAUAUUUUUGUUCAGUAUAUAAUACACACACAAUGUGGAAGCCGACGUCAUGUCCAUUAAUGCAUGUCCAGGUCGCCCUACACUCCUCUCCCCACCCCACCGAGAAUGACCCAGUUAAAGUGACCCUACUAUCAGAGCAUGGUGGCAUAAGACUCCUUCUCUCUGGUGGAUAGAGAGGAGACGGAGGGGUCGGUGGCUGGGGAGGAGACGGAGAGGCUGGGGAGGAGACGGAGAGGCUGGGGAGGAGACGGAGGGGCCGGUGGCUGGGGAGGAGACGGAGGCUGGGGAGGAGACGGAGAGGCUGGGGAGGAGACGGAGAGGUCGGUGGCUGGGGAGGAGACGGUGGCUGGGGAGGAGACGGAGGGGCCGGUGUCUGGGGAGGAGACGGAGAGUCUGGGGGGAGGAGACGGAG